rnacentral:rRNA from 1 species
GUUGAUCCUGCCAGUAGUCAUAUGCUUGUCUCAAAGAUUAAGCCAUGCAUGUCUCAGUACAAGCCAAAUUAAGGUGAAACCGCGAAAGGCUCAUUAAAUCAGUUAUGGUUCCUUAGAUCGUACCCACACUUACUUGGAUAACUGUGGUAAUUCUAGAGCUAAUACAUGCAAACAGAGCUCUGACCGGAGACGGAAGGAGCGCUUUUAUUAGAUCAAAACCAAUCGGCGGCGGGCUUGCCCGUUCAACCUGGUGAAUCUGAAUAACUUUGUGCUGAUCGCACGGUCUAGCACCGGCGACGCAUCUUUCAAAUGUCUGCCUUAUCAACUGUCGAUGGUAGGUUCUGCGCCUACCAUGGUUGUAACGGGUAACGGGGAAUCAGGGUUCGAUUCCGGAGAGGGAGCCUGAGAAACGGCUACCACAUCCAAGGAAGGCAGCAGGCGCGCAAAUUACCCACUCCCGGCACGGGGAGGUAGUGACGAAAAAUAACGAUACGGGACUCAUCCGAGGCCCCGUAAUCGGAAUGAGUACACUCUAAAUCCUUUAACGAGGAUCAAUUGGAGGGCAAGUCUGGUGCCAGCAGCCGCGGUAAUUCCAGCUCCAAUAGCGUAUAUUAAAGUUG